rnacentral:lncRNA from 1 species
AGUUCUCUUUUUCUCUCUUUAAAAAAACUAUUGAGAUCAAAGGUUGGAGGGAACGAAAGUAUUUCUUUAAGCUGGAUCUAAGACCCUGGAUUUUAUCGGUGAUUUCCCCGUGCCAAGGUAAGUCCUAUUGCUUUAUAAAAAUAGAUCUGUAUGAGUGCAAGAAGAAAUAAGGCUUUGUUAAAGAAUUAUUUAGGUAAGAUGAUUGUAAAGGUUAUUUGGAUGAGCGUUAAUGGUAAAUCUUAUGUUUUUACAAAGAAAUGGUCGUUACAGUUCUAAAAAGACCUUAGGCCUGUAGCCCAAGCUACCAAACAUCUUUACUAAGUGAGUCAUUAGGCUGACUCUUGCAUGUAGUAUGUAUGUUCGAAGAACUUCUAUGCUAAGUGACCAAAUAGUGAAAAUGAAACGUUCAUGAUCAUGCAUGUAUGAAAUGUAUGAAUUUUGAUGGUCUAAGUAUGAUGCAUGAGUCUGAAUGAUUAUGGUGUGCAUAUAAGUCUGAAAGCAUGUCACAUCCCAGAAAUCGGGUUAGAUGAAAUUGGGUUAGUGAUACCAAGAGUGGUCACAUCUUGAUUUUGAGUUAUUAUUGUGAAAAUUUUAAAAAGUGAAGUGAUCUGGUUCAAUGGCUAAGUGUAAUGUGUGUGGGUCAGAGGUCUUGUGUUCAAAUAACUUUCCUUUAAUUUUUAGUAAUUUUUUUUGUAACCCUUAUCCAUGACCAUCUGGCAUAAAUAAUAUUUUCACUUAAUUGAUGAUAAGAAUGAGUUUGUUGGUUUAGUGGCAAGGAGUAAGCUUACUCUUUAGUCCUGUGUUCGAAUUCUCAUGUGUGCAAAGUGGAAAUUAUGUUUUUGUUUUAAAUUUUGAAGAAAAAUAUGUUUGGAUAAGGAUUAGAUAAUGGAGUUGUGGAGAGUUUAAAUUUGUUUAAAUUUUUCAUUUUAUUUUAUUCUCUUAAAAAAUAAUAUUAAUAUAAUAAAAAUAAUAAUUAUUUUCCCUAAAUUUUCCCCGCUCACGUUCCCACUUUCUUUUUCUUUAUUCUUUAUUCUUUUUGUUUUUAUUUAUUUAUUUUUUCUUUCUUUCUUUCUGCCGUUUAGAUUUGUUUUUGGUUUUCAAAAUGUCUUUCGCAAAUUUGUUUUUCUUCUCAAAGAUAGCUAUCGUGCAAAGCCUUUCUCAUUUCCUUCUCUUUUGAUCGAAAUGCAGUGCUUUUAAGGUGUAGGAUAAGACCCGAGAUGUGACAAUUGUCAACAUGUGUCAGUACGUGAUGUAGUUAAGGUACGUGAAAAAUGUAAAUACGAUCUGUGUUCUAUUAACUCUGAAAAUGUAAUUAUGUUUGAUUACGCAUGACAUCUUUAUGUGGAAUAACUGUUAGCAUAAGAAAUAAGAUAUGCUAUGAUCUGUAUAAGUUAUAUUUGUAUUAUGCUCUGUAAAAUAUGUGUUUAGAUAUGCAUGGCAUGCCACCUAUGUGUUAUGCAUGUAAGUUAAUAUGGUUUUGCAUUUGCAUUGGGGUGGGUUUUGAUAUGAUGAUGGAAGUGUUUUCUGGCAGUAUUACUGCAAUUUUUGUGGUUAAAUUGCAAUAUCUGUCUAUUAACUCAGCUGCAUCAUUAUGAGUGGUAUACGACCACAACCCGGUGUAAUUGGAUGGAUGUACUAUUAUAGUCCUAUUUGGGGCGAUUGGUUGGACGGAGUUGGUGUGUAGCGGAUGGGGGUAGGAUUUGUUCUGUUAUAAUAUGAUAUUAUGAUCUGAUAUAUAUAUUUCUAAAAUUUAUAAUUGUUCAACACGAUAUAUGUUUUUGGAUUUGUUGUGACAUUUUAAUAUGUUAUUUGCAUAUGUGUACGUUAUGAGAACGAAUCUAUUUCGAUAUUGGUGUCUGCAUUUGUAUUUGAUUAUAAAUAUAUAUCUGAUUCUAUAUGUGAGUAUAUGUUAAAUCUGUAACUGAUAACGUGUCCGUUAUUUAUGUAUAUAUGGUUGUGGGUCGAGUCACACAUUGGGCUUCUAGCUUACUCAUUUCUUUGAUUCAUUUUAGGUAUACUUCCGACUUAAGACUUGGCGGCAACUUCGGAGCUCAGUUCACAUAAUUUUGUAUAAGUUGAUUUGGUUUUUAAUUUCGGACUUUACGAAUUUCCAGAUUUCAAUUUGUUUUGGAAUGUUAAAUUCUUGGUUUUGGUAAUUUUUUCGUGGAUGUUUUAUUUAAAACUUGUAAACUCACGCAAGAUGACAUAACUAAUGGAUCUUAUGAUUUU